CACCUGGGUGCCGGCUGGCACAGCCAUGGUUCUGAGCCAGCGGGAGCUGGACAGAUGGACAGACAUUGUUGGUGUGAGCUCAAGGAUAACCAGGCACUACAUCCCCCAAUCAGGAGCCCUCUGUGAACCCCCAUGCCCACUUUCCAAAGUCAGCCUCCUUCCUCUUCACUCUUGCCCAUCCUUGUACUCACCGAUGACUUCCCUUGGACACAAGAGGAGGAGACAGACUGACACAUAAGCAGGAGCUGGGAGAGAAAGAAAGGAGGUUAAGGAUGGGGCUGGAAGUGUGGCCACUAGGUUGAUCUCAGGGAGGGCAGGCCAGGGUGGGGAAGGCUUAGUUCCAGAUUAGCUCUAAAGGCUUGGGUUUGGAACUAUCUUUGCAUAGGAUCUAACUGACACAGUUAAGAGUCCAGACAGCAGGGCCAGAGAAGCAUGGACCCUUCUAGGAAAGAGAAUGCAGGGAAAACUCUUGGAAUAUCUUCGUUUAUGAUUCUAAGAAUAUGCUGAAGUUUACCAGUUGGAAAAAGGAGGGAGCAGCUGUUAAAGAUUAACCAUGGUUAAGAUUAAGGUGAUAAGGAAGGAGGAAGGAAGCUGAGUAAGAUUGGCAAGUGGAGAACUGGGGUGCAGGAUUGUCUUGGAGAUAGGAUUGGGCUUGAGUAGGUCUUUUUUUGUUUGUUUGCUUUUUGUUUUUUGAGACAGGGUCUUACUCUGUCACCCAGACUGGAGUGCAGUGGUGCCAUCUUGACUCACUGCAGCCUUGAACUCCAGGGCUCAAACGAUCCUCUCACUUCAGCUUCCUGAGUAGGUGAGACUACAGACAUGUGCCACCAUGCCCAGGUAAUUUUCUAUUUUCUGUAGAGACGGACAGUAGGUCUAAAAUUUGGGGCUCUCCUCAUUUGUUUUGCAGUUUCUGACACCAUGACUGUGGGUGAAGGUUGAGAGAUAAAGGAAAUGGAAAAAAAUGAUGGAAUAUGAAGGUUUUUUUAUGGAUGCAAUCACCUGACUAACAUAGUGAUCCAAGUUCAAAUAUUCCAUGGUUGAAAGCAUGUACAGGCAGGUGAAAACAUGUACAGGCAGCUUUUGAAAGCAUGUACAGGCAGGUGACAAUGAGAUUAUGUGAGCAAAAUAAGAGGAAGGGUGUUCGUUUUUGUCUUCUGUACUUGCAAAUGAAAAAUGUUCCCCUUAUACUAUAACCUUUUUCCUCUCCUGGGCUACUCCAUAUCAGAGAGUGAAUGCAGCCAAGUCCUACUCCAUGUUGUGGCUUGAGGAAGCUCAUGGCCUCCAGUACCACCGGCCAUUACCAAUGAACAUGAAACUAGAGAAGGUGGCUCUUCCCAUCUAUUUUAAUCCCCCUUCUACUAAACACCUUCUAAUUCUAUAUUUCCCAGGCACUGUAUCCUUAGAAGUUUCAAAAGAUGAUGCCCCAAACCACUUUGUUUACUCCCUGGAGAACUAUUUGGAGUCAUAUCCACAGUUUUCACGUGAUCUAGCAGAAGUGCACAGGCACCAUAAACUCCAAAAGAGAACCAGAGAAGAGUGACAGCUGCGAUUUUUUCAUGGAGUUGUUGUGAGGAUCCAAAGGGCAUGUGGUUCUAGAGUGCAGAUUGUAAUAAUAGUAAUAAUAGUAAGUGGCAGAUGAUAUGUGAUACAGCACCUGAGAGUGCAGCCCAGAUAAACAAAAUCACAAGGUAAACCAAUGCCUAUGAGGAAGGCAGCAGAUCUGGCAGGACCCGGGCAGUAAGGAAGCCAGCCCUCAGUGAUGACAACUGAUCUGACACUCCAUCCCCCACCUGCUGCCACAACUUGUGGGGGAGCCCUUACUCCUAAUCAUCCUGACCGCAUCAGUAACCUUAGGGAGGGCUCUUCUCUCCCAAGCUCCAUUCUUAGCCUCCCAUGCACGUUGAAGGGUAUUGGCCUCCUUUACAAAGCCUAAGAAGAUCAAGAAUCUGGAUAUUCUUGAUGAGCCUCACCUGCCAGCUUGGUUAUUCAAGAAAAGUUGUACAUGAAAUUAACAAGAAAAGGUACAAGUGUCAAAACUGUUUUAGCUAUUCUAGUUCCUCUGCCUUUCCAUAUAAAUAUAGAAUCUUGUCUAUACCCACCCGCCCCCCCAAAAAUAAAAUCUUGCUGGGAUUUUGAUAGAAAUUGCAAUCAGGCCGGGCGUGGUGGCUCACACCUGUAAUCCUAGCACUUUGGGAGGCCAAGGUGGGUGGAUCACGAGGUCAGGAGAUCAAGACCGUCCUGGCUAACAGGGUGAAACCCCAUCUCUACUAAAAAUACAAAAAAAUUAGCCAGGCAUGGUAGUGCGCACCUGUAAUCCCAGCUACUAGGGGGCCUGAGGCAGGAGAAUCACUUGAACCCGGGAGGCGGAGGUUUGCAGUGAGCCAAGAUCGCGCCACUGCACUCCUGUCUAGGUGACAGAGUGACACUCUGUCUCAAAAUAAAAUAAAAUAUAAAUUGCAAUCAAUUUGGGGGGAACUAACAUCUUUACUAGUUGAGUUUUACAAUCCAUGAAAAUGGCAUGUCUCUCCAUUUAUUUCUUUCAGGAGCAUUUUGUAAUUUUCAGCAUAUAAGUCCUGUACAUGUUUUGUUAGAUUUACACCUAACUUUUUCAUUUUUGAACAAUUGCAGGUGCUAUUUUGUUAUUAAUUUCAAUGUCCACAUGUUCAUUAUUGGUAUAAAGAAACACGAUUGAUUUUUUCUAUGUUGAUCUUGCAUUCUGAAACCUUGCUAAACUCACUUAUUAGUUAUAGGAGUACAUUUUUAGAUUCCUUGGGACUGUUUACAUAGACAGUUGUGUGGCCUACAAAUAUAGGAACAGUUUUAUUGCUUCCUUUCCAAUCUGUAUAAAUUGUAAUUCUUUUUUUCCUUGACUUAUUGCCCUGGUUAGAAUGUCCAGCAAUACACUGAAUAAGAAUGGUGAAAGCAGACUUCCUCUCCUUUGCUCAGUCUUAGGUGGAAAGCAUUCACUUUUUCACCAUUACUUAUUAUAUUAGUUGUAGGGUUUUUGUAGAUGGACUUUAUCGAGUUGAGGAAAUUCCCCCUAUUCCUGUUUUUCUGGGAGUUUUUAAAAUCACGAAUGGGUGUUAAAUUUUAUCAGAUGCUUUUUCAGCAUCAAUUGAUGUGAUCAUGUCAUUUUUCUUCUUUAGCAUGUUAAUAUGAUGGAUUACACUGAGAGUGAUUUUUGAAAUAUUCUGCCAGGCUUACAUUCUGGAAUAAGCCCUACAUAGGCAUGAUGUGGGAAAUGGGAGACACACCGUGGUACACACACACAAUGGAAACUUUUGAGCAAUAAAAAGACAAGGAACUAUUUACAUACACCAUGACUUGGCAAGAUCUCAAAGGCACCGUGUCAGAUACAAGAAGUUGGUCUCAACAAUUACAUAGGUAAGAAUCAACUUAGCCUUUCCUGUGACACUCAGGAAAGGCAAAACUAUAGGAAAGAGUGAAUGCCAGGGGUUGGGGUUGGGUUUGGGGUGAUGGAACUGUUCUGUAACCUGAUUUUGAUCGUGACUACAUGAAUCUAUACCUGUGUUUAAAUCCAUUAAGUUGUGCAUAGAAAACAGUCAACUUACUGUAUGUUUUUAAAUAAAAUAAAAUCAG
rnacentral:lncRNA from 10 species